AGAGUUUGAUCAUGGCUCAGAACGAACGCUGGCGGCAGGCUUAACACAUGCAAGUCGAACGCCCCGCAAGGGGAGUGGCAGACGGGUGAGUAACGCGUGGGAACAUACCCUUUCCUGCGGAAUAGCUCCGGGAAACUGGAAUUAAUACCGCAUACGCCCUACGGGGGAAAGAUUUAUCGGGGAAGGAUUGGCCCGCGUUGGAUUAGCUAGUUGGUGGGGUAAAGGCCUACCAAGGCGACGAUCCAUAGCUGGUCUGAGAGGAUGAUCAGCCACAUUGGGACUGAGACACGGCCCAAACUCCUACGGGAGGCAGCAGUGGGGAAUAUUGGACAAUGGGCGCAAGCCUGAUCCAGCCAUGCCGCGUGAGUGAUGAAGGCCUUAGGGUUGUAAAGCUCUUUCACCGGAGAAGAUAAUGACGGUAUCCGGAGAAGAAGCCCCGGCUAACUUCGUGCCAGCAGCCGCGGUAAUAC
rnacentral:rRNA from 1 species